rnacentral:rRNA from 1 species
GAUGAACGCUAGCUACAGGCUUAACACAUGCAAGUCGCGGGGCAGCAUGGGGGUUGCUUGCAAUCCCCGAUGGCGACCGGCGCACGGGUGAGUAACGCGUAUCCAACCUGCCCUUCACCACGGGAUAACCCGGCGAAAGUCGGACUAAUACCGUAUGUUGUCCAUUGACGGCAUCCGAUUUGGACGAAAGGGUUGGCGGUGAAGGAGGGGGAUGCGUCCGAUUAGCUGGACGGCGGGGUGACGGCCCACCGUGGCGGCGAUCGGUAGGGGUUCUGAGAGGAAGGUCCCCCACACUGGAACUGAGACACGGUCCAGACUCCUACGGGAGGCAGCAGUGAGGAAUAUUGGUCAAUGGGCGUAAGCCUGAACCAGCCAAGUAGCGUGCAGGAUGACGGCCCUAUGGGUUGUAAACUGCUUUUAUGCGGGGAUAAAGUGGCCCACGUGUGGGUUUUUGCAGGUACCGCAUGAAUAAGGACCGGCUAAUUCCGUG